UUUCCUGUGCCCUGCCAACCUGUUUUCUGCAGAACAAAAGAAAGAGACCCAGGGAUUCAGCCCUUGGCUCUCAGAUGAAGGAGAAAGAUACAUGGCUUCAGAGAAGCAGUAAAAUCUGGACAGAAGAGCAGGUCAGCGAUGGCGAGGAGCAGGGAUUCAGCCAGCGGCCGAGCUUCGUUCUCAUGGACAUCUUCAUCCAAACUCUGCAGCAAAAACACAUUAGUCAAAAUGUAAUCUCAGUGAUUUUUUUU